GAUGAACGCUGGCGGCGUGCUUAACACAUGCAAGUCGAACGGAAAGGCUCCUGCUUGCAGGGGUACUCGAGUGGCGAACGGGUGAGUAACACGUGGGUGAUCUGCCCUGCACUUCGGGAUAAGCCUGGGAAACUGGGCCUAAUACCGGAUAGGACCACACUUUGGAUGGUGUGGUGGAGAGUUUUUCGGUGUGGGAGGAGCUCGCGGCCUAUCAGCUUGUUGGUGGGGUAAUGGCCUACCAAGGCGGAGACGGGGAGCCGGCCUGCGAGGGUGUAGGGACACAUUGGAACUGUAAGACGGGCCAGAGUCGGACAGGAGGGAGCAGGGGGGAAUGUUGGACAAUGGGCGAAAGCGUGAGGCAGGAAGGCCGCGGGGUGGAUAAGGGCUUUUGGGGGGUAAGAAACUCUGGCGAGGGACGAAGCGUUGUUGUGACGGUACCUGAAGAAGAAGCACCGGCUAACUACGUG
rnacentral:rRNA from 1 species